GCUCAUAUACAAAAUACUUACAUAAAUUUUUCAAACGGAAAUCCAGCAGCAUUACGACAUACAAAUCAUGUCGAACCUGCAGAUCAAUCUAGAUCGAUUUCAACGUAAUAAAAAAUAAAACAACACAUAUAGUCCCAGAUGUUUACAUUAUUAAAACACAUUACAAAAUCCAAAAAAUAAAAAUGAUCCAACAGAAUCACAAUGAAAUCAAACACAAUCCAUAAUAAAAAUAUAAUCGCAAUGUAAAAUUAUUGAACACAAUAAAACUAAAAAAACAUCGAAAUUGAAGCGUUACCAAACGAGUUACGUUGAUAUUGUUGUUUUUGGAGUCGAGAUGAGAGCGAAGUAAAGGUGUUGUUUGUUGGAAGUUGUUGAGAGAAAGAUGUGGUCGGACAAAGUUUUAAUGCAGUUCGCCAGAGAUGUUGAAGGGUUAUUGCCAACGUGUUGUUUGGUGUGGUGAGAGGUCAUUGUGUUUUGGCGGUGAAGGAAAAUUAUGAGUGUAUCCGGAACAUGGAAGCAUUUAGGCAGAGGAAGGUUGAAUAUGGCUUGUUGUGUGGUGACACAGUGGUAUUCGGUUUGUCGGAGUUGGUGAUUGUGAGGUGGGAAUGAGCGUAAGCCAUCGGUUGUAGUGGAUGUUGCGUUUUUUCGUCGUUGGCAUUUUGGAUGGAGGAAUAUGUUGGAUGGAAGUGAGUAUAGUUUUUUGUUAAGACGAAAAGGAAAUGUUGUUGUAAGCUAGUAAGAGGGAGUGUAUGAUGAAGAUGGUGUUGUGUGUUUACUACGUGGAAGAAGAAAUUUGAGAGGGUGAGUUAUGUGUAUGGUGGGUUAUGAGAAAGAUGUGAGGUUUGUGUGUUUUCACUCUUGGAGGAAGAAAAACAAAGAGGCGGGCUUUAAUGAAAAACCACUUUCUCUAACCAACCAUGAGCGUGAUCCCCUUCUCCCCUUCUCCCCUUUUCACUUUCUUUUUUCUUUUUCUUCUUUUGAUUUCAAAAGUUGAGAGAGAGAGAGAGAGAGUAGGCACAAUUGCCCUCCUCAUGAGCUGAUAACUUUAACAUUAUAUUGCAUUAGUUUUAGGGUUAAGAUUUGAAAUUAAUUCCCACAAUACCCUUCGAUCUAAAUGUAUGAUUAAUUGGGCAUGGUUUGACAAAAUAUAGUCUAUCAAAAAUAAUUUUAUAAAACUAAUAAAAAAAAUAAACCAUUUUAUUAUAUAUAUAUAUAUAUAUAAUGAUCAAAAACAUAAAAUGAAUGCAUUAAAAUAAUCUACGUGAAAUAUAAUUCAAUAAAACAGACAGUCAGAGAUCAAAUCUCGCAAUUAAAAAUACUCGGAUGAAAAGGCUUAGACUGGUAAAAAUGUGAACGCACGAAUAUGCGAAAAAAAACUAAACGAGCAUGUCAAAUGACCUACGCGACACGUAGAUAAAAUAGACAGUUGUAGGCCCGAACUUAAAUUUUUUCACUCGCUAAUUUUAUGCCCGAUUGAAAAUUGCUUGAAACAUGGUCUAUUUGUAAAACCAAAAUUUUAUUUUGGUUGACUUUUGGAAUUUAUGCCUACUUAAAUGCAUGUAAUGAUAUAAAAAUGAUUCAAAUGUCAUGAUGAAUGAAUCAGUUUAUUGAUCUAGGGGGAAAUUAGGAUAUGAAAUUAGUCUCUUGCUUAUUUGUUCUUACUUUGUUUCCUUUGUGUGCUUUUUUAUUUAUGCUUUAGUUUCCAUCUUGUACCCCAAUAUGCUUCGAAUUAAAUGUAAUUUUUUCUUUUCCCUUUCUAAAUGUCUAUGUAAUCUACGUGCUUGUAUCUUUAAAUUUACAUUUUGCAUCUUUAUCCGUCAUUUUAAUUAUGACAAAGGGGAAUAUCCAUACUCUCAAGAGAGUAGAGUAUACUAUCUACUCAUGUGAUGGGGCGUAACACUCAAAUUUUAUCUAUAUGUAUUUUCCUUUACUACCUCCCCAAGAUAUGUGUUGUCAUCAUCAAAGAGAGGGAGAAUGUGGAACUAUGUGCUUGCAGGUUUAAUCACGAAGUGAUCAAAGAUAAGCAAGAUAUCCAUAGACCCGUCAACACCAUGGUUUUGAUGAUGACCACUCAAACUUUGAAGAUGAAUUUGAUGACAACUCAUGAAGAUGACUUUGAUGACAACAACACAUAAAGAAAAUCAAGUGCUAAAAUAGUUUCAAGCGAUCAAAGAUUCAUAAGAUAGUUGAUCAAGCUCUUCCGUCGAAUAAUUCCAAUGAGUAAGGGUUAAAUGAUCAUUGUUAUAUACUCUGAUGAUGACAUCCGACUUCAAGAUAUUUUAAGCCUCAUAUACAAGAAGAAUUAAGUGAUGUUAUUAUAUGAUUGGUGUAUACGGUAAAAGGCUUAAAGCUUUAGCGUGUGAAAGAGAGAAAGUGUGAAAGCUACCUUAAUCGUGUCAGAGUGACCAAUGUUAUGUAAAAACACAAGGAUGUUCUCGUAUAUAAUAUGAAUGAAUUACACACUCUAAAAAUAUUUUUGAAGCCUCUAUUUUUUAAAAUACAAACACCUAAAUUAUUUUUAAGCUUAUCUAGAUGAGUCUGAAACCGUCAGAAUGAUUAACACAUGUUUUUUGACUUGUCUAAUCGAUUAGACCAUAUACCCAAUCCAUUAGAUAAGGGUAUAAUGAGUCUACAAUCGAUUAUGAAAGUGCAUUAAUGAUGGGAAACAACUUUCUAUUUAAAACUUCCAAAAUGGGUUCAAACAAUCGAUUAUUUAUGUCAUCUAAUCGAUUAGGUUAAAGACCUAAUCAAUUAGGUAAUUAAUUUAGCCCAUGAAUCGUUUCCUUUUUUGAACCAUCAUUUAUCCUAUAAAUAGAGGAAUUACCUUUAACUUUUCCACAUCCAUAAUAGUGAUUUAUCUUACCUUCGUCCUUCUUUCUCUCUCACUAAAAUAGUUUCUCUUUCUCUCACAUAAUUUUAGCCAUAGUGCUUUGAGAAAUGUUUAUGUGUUUAAGUGAGAGAUUUGUUAUAUAAAGGUUAAUGUUUUAAAUUUUAACAAGAGUUCUUUUUCCUCUUGAGUGAAUCUUUAUUCCUUAGGAUUUUUUUGUUUGGGUUUGAAGUUAAAUCCAUUAAAAGCUCGUUUAGGGGAUUAAUGUUAAGUCUCUGUUAGGUUCAUGAGUUCAACCACUUAAGGAAAAACUCUAUUUCUUGGUUCUUGAAGAUAACCAGUGAAGAAUAUUUGUAUUGUUUCAUGAGCUAUUCCCGGUGUAAAAUCUCAAUUGGUUCGAGAUUAGUCUGAUGUAAAAUCUCGGUUUGGUUCGUGGUUAGCCCAUGUAAAACCUUGAUUCAAUUUGGAAGAUAGACAAUUCAAAACUCCGCCUUGGUUCAAGAUAAGUCCAUACAAAAUUUUGGUUUUGCUUAGAGACUAACCGCUUGAAGUUUUGUUUGUUGUUUGACAUGAAUACUAACUUCUUCAUUCCAUUGUUCGUUGUUUGACAUGAAUACUAACUUCUUCAUUCCAUUGUUCGUUGUUUGGUUGGAAGUAAACCUGAAACUUCACAUUUUCUUGUACUAGGGGGUUCAUGAGUCUAACCUUCUAAAAUUUUAUAAGCAUCAUUGGAAACUAAGGAUUAAUUCUUAGGGAGAGGAGUAGGUCACGUCUUUAUACCGAACCUCGAUAAAUCUCAGUUGUCGUCUCUUUUUCCUUAACUCUUUAUUUUUUGCUUAUUGUUUUUACAUUAUUUUUCCACUGCAUAUUCAAACGUUUCAUUUGAAAACGUUUUAAAACUCUAAUUCAUAAAAUAUUUUUGUUUUAAAAUAUUUUUUUUAAAACUCCCACAAUUCAUCCCUCAUCUUGUGUGUGAAGUCGCAUGUUCAACAAAAACCUCUAAUAGACCUACAAUAUAAGGGGUUGUCAUAUAUUAUACUUUUAUAAAGUAUAAUUGGCGCCUACCGUAGGGCUCGGUAAAGUUGAUUUGAGCCACAAUUACAACAUUCAACUAGAUUGCUAUCCUCAUGUUCAACUCCUUUGAAAUUCAUGGUGAACAAGAUUGUAGCAACUCCAACCAACAAUGAGUCCGACAACAAGGUGAAUGCCAUGGCAGAGAUGUGUGUUGCCAUGGAUGACUUAUGCCGCUAAAAUCAAACUUUGGAGGAAAACAUUCUCCGAAUCCAACAAUUCUAGGAGGAUGUCGACCCUCUAGAAUAAAUUGAAAACUCCUACUUGAGCUUGUGAAGCCUAUACACGACUGAUCCAAAAUUAUUUACUGUUACAAUUGCACUGCAUUUAACUUCUUGGUGUUUCUAUAUGUCAGUUUCUGUGCUGAUUUGGACAAAUGGUUCUGUCCAAGAACUCAUGACGAGAUUUUAUGUUACAAGUGGUCAUAAUUGUUUUCCUUAUGCUCCAAGCUUUAAUGUCAAAGUACAUUAGGAUGGUGAACACCAGAUACUUUUAGAAUAUUAUAAGUAUGAAAUUGCUUUUAAGUUGUGCUCUCAUUCAUGAAAAAUAUUAUAAUUUUAAUUUUUGUAAUCAAAUCGAUGCUUAAUUAUCAACAAUUAUGAUAAAUAUUAUAGUUUUAAUUUUUUUUAAUUACACCAAUGCUUAUUUAUCAACAAUUAUGAUAAUGUUUAAGAUGGAUACUUUUUUAUAAUUUAUAGUCUAAUUAGUUUUGAUUAGAAAAUUAAAAAUCUUAUCUAACUUACCUAGUUUUGAUUAGAAAAUUUUAAAAAAUUAUCUAGCCAAAUUUAGCUUGAGAUUCACUAUGAUACUUUUGAGGCGAUAUUGUAGCUGAGUAGUUUGGAAACAUAAAAGUAAAACUGAUAAUUUGCUACGUUUUAGUUAUUGUUUAGCUAUGAAAUGUUAGAAAACUCUAGCUAAUUAGCCAUCCAAUCCAAACUAUGGAAUAUAAUUUUUUUAGAGAUUCACUUCAAAUUCGCUACGGUUUUAAUCGUAGCUAAUCACAGAUCUUCUUGUAGUGUUCUUCUUACACAUUCACAUCUUGAAGAAAUACACUUCCGUUUUAAAGGUCUAUAACAUACUUUGUUGAAACAAUCUUUAUCAGUUUCGCAAGGGGAUGCAAAAUCUACGAUGUCAAAUAAAAAUAAAAGAUUGUUGCUAAGAAAUGAUUAAAUAGUGUGCAUAUGUUAUAAAAGAAAAUUUGAAAAUGGUAGUGAAGAAAUGACCUACAGUUGUGAGGUGUUGUACGCCAUAAGGGUUUUGCAGCUUUGGCUUCUACAAGAAACAAACAAAGAGAUACUAUCAAAUAAUAAACACAUUUGAGAAUUUGACUCAUAUUUUUCCUCCUUUAGUUAAUCAUUUUAAAGUUUGUAAUUAACUUAUAUAAGUAAAAAUUAAUACUACCUCCGUUUUUUUGUCAGUUGUUUUGAAAAACUAUUUUGUACUACAAUAUAAGUCGUUUUAUAAUAUCAAUGAAUCAUUAAUGUUAUUUUUCCUAUUAUACCGAUAAAUAUUUAUUAUUCUCUCUCUUUUCAAUUAUGUCAAUUUAUACUUUCAAUAUCAUUAAUGAAGGACAAUUUUGUAAAACCCUUCAUAGUUUCUCUUUUUUAUACCAUAAUUAUU
rnacentral:lncRNA from 1 species